rnacentral:rRNA from 1 species
GAUGAACGCUGGCGGCGUGCUUAACACAUGCGAGUCGAACGAAGCACUCAGAUCUCUUCGGAGUGAUGAGUGACUGAGUGGCGGACGGGUGAGUAACGCGUGGGUAACCUGCCUUGUACAGGGGGACAACAGUUGGAAACGACUGCUAAUACCGCAUAAGCGCACAGCUUCGCAUGAAGCAGUGUGAAAAGCUGAGGCGGUACAAGAUGGACCCGCGUUGGAUUAGCUAGUUGGUGGGGUAACGGCCUACCAAGGCGGCGAUCCAUAGCCGACAUGAGAGGGUGAUCGGCCACAUUGGGACUGAGACACGGCCCAAACUCCUACGGGAGGCAGCAGUGGGGAAUAUUGCACAAUGGGCGAAAGCCUGAUGCAGCGACGCCGCGUGAGCGAUGAAGUAUUUCGGUAUGUAAAGCUCUAUCAGCAGGGAAGAAAAUGACGGUACCUGACUAAGAAGCUCCGGCUAAAUACGUGCCAGCAGCCGCCGUAACAC